rnacentral:misc_RNA from 1 species
GAUGAAGAACGCAGCGAAAUGCGAUAAGUAAUGUGAAUUGCAGAAUUCAGUGAAUCAUCGAAUCUUUGAACGCACAUUGCGCCCCCUGGCAUUCCGGGGGGCAUGCCUGUCCGAGCGUCAUUACAACCCUCAAGCUCAGCUUGGUGUUGGGCCCCGCCGCCCCGGCGGGCCCUAAAGUCAGUGGCGGUGCCGUCCGGCUCCGAGCGUAGUAAUUCUUCUCGCUCUGGAGGUCCGGUCGUGUGCUCGCCAGCAACCCCCAAUUUUUUUCAGGUUGACCUCGGAUCAGGUAGGGAUACCCGCUGAACUUAAGCAUAUCAAUAAGCGGAGGA